AGAGUUUGAUCCUGGCUCAGGAUGAACGCUGGCGGCGUGCCUAACACAUGCAAGUCGAACGAAGCUUGACGGAUGAUUUCUUCGGAAUGAAACCUGAUAUGACUUAGUGGCGGACGGGUGAGUAACACGUGAGCAACCUGCCUUUCAGAGGGGGAUAACGGCUGGAAACGGUCGCUAAUACCGCAUGAUGUGUUCGGAUGGCAUCAUCUGAACAUCAAAGAUUUAUCGCUGAAAGAUGGGCUCGCGUCUGAUUAGAUAGUUGGUGGGGUAACGGCCUACCAAGUCUACGAUCAGUAGCCGGACUGAGAGGUUGAACGGCCACAUUGGGACUGAGAUACGGCCCAGACUCCUACGGGAGGCAGCAGUGGGGAAUAUUGCACAAUGGGGGAAACCCUGAUGCAGCAACGCCGCGUGAAGGAUGACGGUUUUCGGAUUGUAAACUUCUUUUCUUAGUGACGAAGACAGUGACGGUAGCUAAGGAAUAAGCAUCGGCUAACUACGUGCCAGCAGCCGCGGUAAUACGUAGGAUGCAAGCGUUAUCCGGAUUUACUGGGUGUAAAGGGAGCGCAGGCGGGACUGCAAGUUGGAUGUGAAAUACCGUGGCUUAACCACGGAACUGCAUCCAAAACUGUAGUUCUUGAGUGAAGUAGAGGCAAGCGGAAUUCCGAGUGUAGCGGUGAAAUGCGUAGAUAUUCGGAGGAACACCAGUGGCGAAGGCGGCUUGCUGGGCUUUAACUGACGCUGAGGCUCGAAAGUGUGGGGAGCAAACAGGAUUAGAUACCCUGGUAGUCCACACUGUAAACGAUGAUAGCUAGGUGUGGGGGGUCUGACCCCUUCCGUGCCGGAGUUAACGCAAUAAGCUAUCCACCUGGGGAGUACGACCGCAAGGUUGAAACUCAAAGGAAUUGACGGGGGCCC
rnacentral:rRNA from 1 species